rnacentral:rRNA from 1 species
CCUACGGGAGGCAGCAGUGAGGAAUAUUGGUCAAUGGGCGCGAGCCUGAACCAGCCAAGUCGCGUGAGGGAGGACGGCCCUACGGGUUGUAAACCUCUUUUGCCGGGGAGCAACGGGCGCCACGUGUGGCGUCCCUGAGAGUACCCGGAGAAAAAGCAUCGGCUAACUCCGUGCCAGCAGCCGCGGUAAUACGUAGGUGGCAAGCGUUGUCCGGAUUUACUGGGUGUAAAGGGCGUGUAGCCGGGCUGACAAGUCAGAUGUGAAAUCCGGGGGCUCAACCCCCGAACUGCAUUUGAAACUGUUGGUCUUGAGUAUCGGAGAGGCAGGCGGAAUUCCUAGUGUAGCGGUGAAAUGCGUAGAUAUUAGGAGGAACACCAGUGGCGAAGGCGGUCUGCUGGACGACAACUGACGGUGAGGCGCGAAAGCGUGGGGAGCAAACAGGAUUAGAUACCCGAGUAGUC